UACAGAGGUCUCAAGCGUUGUUCGGAUUCAUUGGGCGUAAAGGGUGCGUAGGCGGUGCGGUAAGUCGGGUGUGAAAUCUCGGGGCUUAACUCCGAAACUGCAUUCGAUACUGCCGUGCUUGAGGACUGGAGAGGAGACUGGAAUUUACGGUGUAGCGGUGAAAUGCGUAGAUAUCGUAAGGAAGACCAGUGGCGAAGGCGGGUCUCUGGACAGUUCCUGACGCUGAGGCGCGAAAGCCAGGGGAGCAAACGGG
rnacentral:rRNA from 1 species